CACGCUCUCGCACCUGCUGCUGAUUGCAAUUACACUCCUAUUUAAUUCAGGUGUGCACGUCGUCCUUCGUCGAAGCAUUGUCAGCCAUCGUGCUCUUUGUUCGAGGUCUGCCGCCGCGCCGCAGCAUUUACUAUCAAAAUGUACUUGAACCUGCAGGUAAGGAAAGAAGGCUUUGGUCGUCACACUUCUCUUCACCGGGUUGACUUCAUCCUGCGGCGGGGUCACGUCCAGUCAUUGUUAAUCUUCUAAAGACCAUGGAGUCAAACACUUGGUUCGGCCUUGUAUUGAUCUUCACCACUAUCUACAGUCUACAUGCAAGCAGUGACCUCAACCUUCCUGUCUGCCAGCCACCGGGUGUGGAAGGAUGAAAGACCUCCAAGAUCACCAGGCAAUACUCCUGGAGUUGGGCGACGUAUGGAGCACAGGAGCCUCAUGGAAUAGGAUAUCGGCUUUGUGUUCAUCUAAACAAGCCCAAGGUUCACACUGAAGGCUGUCAUCAGCGUUUCUGAAGGAAAAGACCCGACUGGAGCAGGAAGGGAGGACGUGAGGCCAGACCAGCCAACGUUUGCUUCCAUUCUGUCAGGUGGCUGCAUGGCGGACGAGUGGUUAGCACGCAGACCUCACAGCUAGGAGACACGAGUUCAAUCCCACCCUCGGCAUGCCAGAACCUCCAUUUGUCUUCCAUAAUGGACCUGAACGCCUCUCGGACAUGGUUGUCAUCGCCGGUCGCCAUAGAGAUUUCCCUUGGACGUCCAGGAGAAAGUCGGAUUUAGAGGGCCCAGAUGAGGUUACUCGGGUAUCUGGUCAGGAUGCCUGACGCCAAGGAACACAAGUGUUCUUCUCGGGGGUACAAGUGGACUUCUUUGAAUUCUCGUCGGACGGCGCAGAGCGGCUUUUGUGACAGAAGAAGUUGUCAGAAUGUCCACGUGUUUUCCCUUCAUCAGGACUGCCAGACUUCCGUGGUGCUUCAAUCCGAGCCAUUCCAUCCAUGACUUCUACCCCAACUGCAACCAGGAAGGAUUACGGCUGCGAAGGCCAUGGUGUACUUCAAGUCAGCUAAGAAGAUUGCUUUCUUCUGACAUGUGGACAUCCGUCAACAUGAUGUCGACCUGGCUUCAACAUGACACGACGUGGGCGAGGAAAAACCACUGCUGGGAUAAUGCUAUCUCUGAUAGGAGGAAUGGAGAAUGGCUAAUGAGGGAGCCGACGCACGGGCACCAUGUUUGCAUCGAAGGUUCAAAGCUUCAGAAGCAGCGCCGUUACUAAGGUGUGGAAAAGAGCCGCGGACUCCAAACGGGGCCCCCGUGACGCACAUGGACACCCCCCGCAGUACACAGUGCCGUGGCUGACCUCUUUAAAAAGUUUUUCGGACACUUUAUUUGGGCGAUGCAAAUGUGGAAACGGGAGUUGCAUGUAAAAUGACAAGGCUAAUUACCGGCGGCAUCGUCAUUCAAACGCUAAGUGCACUGUAAGAUUAGUGUGGCACCGCGGCUGCCGCAUAUCUCUAACUAAUUGGUGGGGCUUGUGUGCGUAUUCCCGGGCGCUGGCGGAGGCAUGUGUAGCGUUUGCUGUCCAUCUGUCAUGUCCUCCCUGCAGAACUGUGUGCACACGGCAGCCGUUAUUUUUUUUUUAUAGAGUUUUGUGUAUUUGGGUAGACUGCAAGGCAGAGUUUAUAUAGUACCAUAUGUAAA